UGGGGAAUAUUGCACAAUGGGGGGAACCCUGAUGCAGCGAUGCCGCGUGGAGGAAGAAGGUUUUCGGAUUGUAAACUCCUGUCUUAAAGGACGAUAAUGACGGUACUUUAGGAGGAAGCUCCGGCUAACUACGUGCCAGCAGCCGCGGUAAUACGUAGGGAGCGAGCGUUGUCCGGAAUUACUGGGUGUAAAGGGAGCGUAGGCGGGACUGCAAGUCAGAUGUGAAAUACAUGGGCUUAACCCAUGGGCUGCAUUUGAAACUGUGGUUCUUGAGUGAAGUAGAGGCAAGCGGAAUUCCUGGUGUAGCGGUGAAAUGCGUAGAUAUCAGGAGGAACACCGGUGGCGAAGGCGGCUUGCUGGGCUUUUACUGACGCUGAGGCUCGAAAGCGUGGGUAGCAAACAGG
rnacentral:rRNA from 2 species